CGAUGCACGGGAGAGUUGAGGGGGGACGGAGGCGGGAGGCAGAGGGGCGGCCCGGCGGGCGGGAUGGCCAGAGCCAAGCUGAGGAAUUCCCCUUCCGACAGCAAUUCCCACCUCAAGACCGUCCCCCCGGCCACCACGGAGGAUGUCCAUGGGGUGAGCCCCUUGUUGCCGGCUCGGAGGAUGGGAUCCUUGGGAAGUGAUGUCGGACAAAGGCCUCACGCCGAGGACUUCAGCAUGGAUUCCUCCUUCUCACAGGUGCAGGUUGAGUUCUACGUGAAUGAGAACACCUUCAAGGAGCGCCUGAAGCUCUUCUUCAUCAAAAACCAGCGAUCGAGUUUGAGAAUCCGCCUCUUCAACUUCUCGCUGAAGCUGCUCACCUGCCUCCUCUACAUUGUGCGUGUCCUGCUUGACAACCCCGAGGAGGGCAUAGGCUGCUGGGAAUGUGAAAAGCAGAAUUACACGACCUUCAACCAGUCCACAAAGAUAAACUGGUCACACAUCUUCUGGGUGGACAGAAAAACACCAUUGUGGGCUGUGCAGGUCAGCAUCGCCUUAAUCAGCUUUCUGGAGACGAUGCUGCUCAUCUAUCUCAGCUACAAGGGGAAUAUCUGGGAACAGAUUUUUCGCAUUUCGUUCAUCCUGGAGAUGAUCAACACGGUGCCAUUUAUCAUUACAAUAUUCUGGCCUCCCUUGAGGAAUUUGUUCAUCCCUGUGUUCCUGAACUGCUGGCUCGCCAAGUAUGCCCUGGAGAACAUGAUUAACGACCUGCACCGAGCCAUCCAAAGGACCCAGUCUGCCAUGUUUAACCAGGUGCUCAUUCUGAUCUGCACCCUCCUGUGUCUUGUUUUCACGGGGACCUGUGGCAUCCAGCAUUUAGAGAGAGCAGGUGAGAAGCUCUCUCUCUUCAAGUCCUUCUAUUUCUGCAUCGUCACCUUUUCCACCGUGGGUUACGGAGACGUGACACCAAAGAUCUGGCCUUCCCAGCUCCUCGUCGUGAUCAUGAUUUGCGUCGCCCUGGUGGUGCUGCCCCUCCAGUUCGAGGAGCUCGUCUACCUGUGGAUGGAGCGGCAGAAGUCGGGAGGCAAUUACAGCCGCCACCGGGCCCAGACAGAGAAACACGUGGUCCUUUGUGUCAGCUCCCUCAAGAUCGAUCUUCUCAUGGACUUCCUCAAUGAGUUUUAUGCCCACCCACGCCUGCAGGAUUACUACGUGGUGAUACUUUGCCCGACAGAGAUGGACAUCCAGGUGCGGCGGGUCCUGCAGAUCCCUCUGUGGUCUCAGCGGGUGAUCUACCUCCAGGGCUCUGCACUGAAGGACCAGGAUCUCAUGAGAGCCAAGAUGGACAAUGGAGAAGCCUGCUUCAUUCUCAGCAGCCGCAACGAGGUGGAUCGCACGGCGGCGGACCACCAGACCAUCCUGCGAGCCUGGGCUGUGAAAGAUUUCGCUCCAAACUGUCCUCUCUACGUUCAGAUCUUAAAGCCUGAAAACAAGUUUCAUGUCAAGUUUGCCGAUCAUGUCGUCUGUGAAGAGGAGUGCAAAUAUGCCAUGCUGGCACUGAACUGUGUCUGCCCUGCCACCUCCACCCUCAUCACGCUGCUGGUGCACACCUCCCGUGGCCAGGAGGGCCAGGAGUCCCCGGAGCAGUGGCAGCGGAUGUACGGGCGCUGCUCAGGGAACGAGGUCUAUCACAUCCGGAUGGGAGACAGCAAGUUCUUCAUGGAGUACGAGGGGAAGAGCUUCACCUACGCUGCCUUCCACGCGCACAAGAAGUACGGGGUCUGCCUGAUCGGCAUCCGGCGGGAGGAGAACAAGAGCAUCCUGCUGAAUCCCGGCCCGCGCCACAUCAUGGCAGCGUCCGACACCUGCUUCUACAUCAACAUCACCAAGGAGGAGAACUCUGCCUUCAUCUUCAAGCAGGAGGAGAAGCAGAAGAAGAAGGGCUUUGCAGGGAGGGGCAGCUAUGACGGCCCGUCCCGCCUGCCCGUGCACAGCAUCAUCGCCAGCAUGGGUACAGUAGCCAUGGACCUGCAGAACACGGAGUGCCGCCCGGCUAACAGCAGCAAGCUGGCGCUGCCGGCCGAGAACGGCUCGGGCACCCGGCGGCCCAGCAUCGCGCCCGUCCUGGAGCUGGCUGACACCUCCUCCCUGCUGCCCUGCGACCUGCUCAGCGACCAGUCGGAGGAUGAGAUGACACAGUCGGACGAGGAGGGGUCGGCAGUUGUGGAGUAUGUGAAGGGCUACCCCCCCAACUCCCCCUACAUCGGCAGCUCCCCAACCCUCUGCCACCUUCUACCCGAGAAAGCCCCUUUCUGCUGCCUGAGGCUGGACAAGGGCUGCAAGCACAACAGCUUUGAGGACGCCAAAGCCUACGGGUUUAAGAACAAACUGAUUAUUGUUUCGGCGGAGACAGCUGGGAACGGGCUCUAUAACUUCAUCGUCCCCCUUCGUGCCUACUAUCGGUCCCGCAAGGAGCUGAACCCAAUUGUGUUGCUGCUGGACAACAAGCCUGAGCACCACUUUCUGGAAGCCAUCUGUUGCUUCCCCAUGGUUUACUACAUGGAGGGUACCAUCGACAACCUGGACAGCUUGCUGCAGUGUGGUAUCAUCUAUGCUGACAACCUGGUGGUUGUGGACAAGGAGAGCACCAUGAGCGCUGAGGAGGACUACAUGGCAGAUGCAAAGACGAUUGUCAACGUCCAGACCAUGUUCAGGCUCUUCCCCAGCCUCAGCAUUAUCACGGAGCUGACCCACCCCUCCAACAUGAGGUUCAUGCAGUUCAGAGCCAAGGACAGUUACUCUCUUGCCCUUUCCAAGCUAGAAAAGAAAGAGCGAGAGAACGGCUCCAACCUGGCCUUCAUGUUCCGGCUGCCCUUUGCAGCCGGGAGGGUCUUCAGCAUCAGCAUGUUGGACACGCUGCUCUACCAGUCGUUUGUCAAGGACUACAUGAUCACCAUCACUCGGCUGCUGCUGGGUCUGGACACCACGCCGGGCUCUGGCUACCUCUGUGCGAUGAAGAUCACUGAGGAUGACCUGUGGAUCCGGACGUACGGCCGCCUCUUCCAGAAGCUCUGCUCCUCCAGCGCCGAGAUUCCCAUCGGGAUUUACAGGACGGAGUCGCACAUGUUUGCAACCUCCGAGCCCCACGACAUCCGAGCGCAGUCACAGAUCUCAAUCAAUGUGGAGGACUGCGAGGACACCAAGGAUGUCAAGGAGCACUGGGGCAUCAAGACGGGCCACCACAGAAACUCCUGCUCCAGCGACCAGUCGGAGCACCCGCUGCUGCGGCGCAAGAGCAUGCAGUGGGCACGGCGCCUGAGCCGCAAGGGCAACAAGCACUCGGGCAAGACGGCCGAGUGGAUCAGCCAGCAGCGCCUCAGCCUGUACCGCCGCUCCGAGCGGCAGGAGCUCUCCGAGCUGGUCAAAAACCGCAUGAAGCACCUGGGCUUGCCCACCACCGGGUACGAGGAUGUAGCAAAUUUAACAGCCAGUGAUGUGAUGAAUCGGGUAAACCUGGGAUAUUUGCAAGAUGAGAUGAAUGACCACCAGAACACCUUGUCCUACGUCCUCAUCAAUCCCCCCCCGGACACACGGCUGGAGCUCAACGACAUCGUGUACCUGAUCCGCUCGGACCCGCUGGCCCACGUGGCCAACGACGGGCACAGCCGCAAGAGCAGCUGCAGCAACAAGCUGGGCCCCUGCAACCCCGAGACGCGCGACGAGACCCAGCUCUGAGCAGCCCCCGUGCCGGGGAGCACCGGAGGAGCCGCGGGGACGGGCACUGCCCCUGUGCUCAGCACCCCCUGUGCCCGGCGCCCCGAGGAUGGCGAGGCCCAGCCUGGCGGGAGGGACCCCCGCGGCCCCCGGAGGGACGGGACAGCCGGACAGACCGACGGGCCGGGGGACGGACGCCUCGUGGCUUUUAACUUUUUAUACCAAUACCGCAACUAGUGAGACAGUCUUUGCUGGUGCUGGUGGGACGUGGCCGAGAGCCUGGCGAAGAGAUGACCCGCCGUGAGCAAGAGGACGGCGUUUGGGGUUGUCCCCAGGUGACGCAGGUCGAUGCAGUUGGUGGGGCUUGUCAAUACAAGUCAAAACUGCACUGAAACCUGCCCAGGUAUCCCCCGGGGCACCCAGACUUCUGCUCUUGCACCCAUCUCAUGUUCUUCAUCACCCCUUGGCGUUCUGCGAUGGGCGUCGAUGUGAGGAGCACUCAGAGCUGCGCUGGGAGGUGGGGAAGGAGGCGGUGGCCAUGGGCUGGAGGGGACGGAUGGGACGGGGCACUGUGGCCCUCUCCAGAGCCAUGGCAGGGGCUGUGCUGUCCCCAGGGGGUCUCAGCCGGGGGUGGGAAGCCGUGCCAGCCCUGCACAGUGCCAAUGGCCUGGGUUUGUGUCCCCUGUGAGUUUGUCAUUGCUGCUGCUGUUGGGGCUGCCUGGGGGGGACGUGGCGGUCACUGUGAUGGGGGCAGGACAGGGGGCUGGCCAGGGACAUGCACUGUUGGGUGUUGAGGGUCAGUGUCUUAGCUUAGCCCCUUCCUCUCCUUCCAGGGGCAGUUUGGGGUCCAGCACCCCCUUCAUUUGCAGCCUGGACAUGGCUCCCCCCCUUCACAAACCAGUGACACCGUUAGAGGCAGCGGGUUCUGCCACAGUCCCCCCACCAGGCAGCUCCAGCCAUCCUUUGACUUUCAGCCCAGCAGCUUUGUCUGCAGCUGGAGCAUCAGCCCAGCUCAGGGGGCUCAGGCUCCCCCCACAGCAUCUCCCCUGCCCGACCCCAGAGACCUUCCCAGAGCAGAAAUAAAAAGAGGUAUUUGCCAUCUAUUCUUGCACACUUGACCUUGAAGUGUGAAGGUUUUAUUUGGCUGCCAAAUGAAUAACCAAGAUCACUUUAUAUACUUUUGCAGUCAUACAUUAAAACUUCAAUAGGAUUUAUUUUUAUUUUCUUUUUUAAAGCCAGUAAAGCACAAGGUUACCCUGCAACCCCCCCAGCCAGCCUGGCUUUGCUGCCAGCUGUAGGGUUCAUUGCCAUUCACAAUUCAUGCCCCAUGAUGCCCCAACGGAAGUUGUUUACAAAAAAAAACCAAAAAACCCCAUCAAACCUAUUUUAAAAUUGCAGUUUUAAAGCUGCUGAGCUGUCCUGGGGCAUCCCCAUCCCACAGGGACACGCUGCCCAUCCUGCCUGUCCUGUGGGAGAAGCAAGGAUCAGCAAGAACCAUGUGUAAGAGGAAGGAGGGUGCCAGGGUAGGACCUGUACCGAGACAGGCACCAUCUGGGGGUGCUGAGGAAGAUCCCGUGCCUGAAGGGGGUUUGGGGUUGGUCUUUUUUAAUUUUUCUUUUAAUUGUUUCUUUUUUUUCCUGAUGUGCUGGCACGAGGAGGCCCUGAGUGACCUGCACCAGGAGAGACACUGCAGUCCCUGUUUGGCUUUCAAGGGAGAGUGGAACAAAGCAACAUUGCAGGUUAGAAAAAAAAAACAGACUGUAGCACUGCAGGUCAGCAUGUCAGGUGCCAAGUGUCACAGCUCCAAGUGUCACAGCCCAAGUGUCCAGAACAGCCAGCACGACGGGUCCUUGUGCAAUGACACCAGGUGCUGUGACAAGAGCUCAACUUUGGGCACCUCUCCCUCUUCACUGGGCACUCUCAGUUCUUCCUUACCCUUUAUUUGAGUAAUUAACUCAAGAGGAUCCCCACGUACCAAAAGAACAAUACCUGGUUUGUGAUACUAUUAAAAAACACCCCUUGAUAUUCCUGUAUUUUGAAAAAAAAAAAUGCUUGUUUGUUUAAUGUAUAAAUAUAUGUAUUUAAAAGGAAAGUUCUGGGUAUCAACCACCUGCGUUUUGCAUACGUUCUUUCUAUGGUGUAAAUUUAUAGCAGACUUUCUGAGGGGAUGUUGGAAUAAAUCCUGUAGAUACUUGCCUGUGGUCAAUGCAAGUCUAAGAACAGACGUUUUAAGUUUUUUCUAAUUCUUUAGGCUCAGUUGCUAUACUAAUGUAAAAACAAAGGUAUUUUAUUUUUAUAAUGGUCCUGGAAGCGUCGCUGCAUCAAGACGAGGGGCUCCUGCUCACCAAAGGGCUGUCUUGGAGGGAGGACUUUCCCCUGGGGCCAACUUGGUACAACCCCUUCCUAUGGGCAGGGGAAAAAAAAAACCUUACAAUAAGCUUAGAAAAAUAGGCUUUUCUGAAGGAAAAGUUGUAUCCUAGAGCAGAGACAUGAGAGGCCCUGGGCUGGGGGGACAGACACGAGGGCAGCUGCGAGAUUUUCAGGGUUACAGCAAACGGCUCCAUCCCAUGGUACGUACCCACGAGUGGUUUCAUCUGCUAAAUAUGGACUAAAUCCAUAUAUUCCCCAUUAAAACCAAACAUUCAAACAA